rnacentral:rRNA from 1 species
GUUUACGGCCAUACCACCCUGUCUGCGCCUGAUGUCAUCUGAUCUUGGAAGCUAAGCAGGGUUGGGCCUGGUUAGUA